rnacentral:rRNA from 1 species
GGUAGUCCACGCCGUAAACGAUGUCGACUUGGAGGUUGUUCCCUUGAGGAGUGGCUUCCGGAGCUAACGCGUUAAGUCGACCGCCUGGGGAGUACGGCCGCAAGGUUAAAACUCAAAUGAAUUGACGGAGGCCCGCACAAGCGGUGGAGCAUGUGGUUUAAUUCGAUGCAACGCGAAGAACCUUACCUACUCUUGACAUCCAGAGAACUUAGCAGAGAUGCUUUGGUGCCUUCGGGAACUCUGAGACAGGUGCUGCAUGGCUGUCGUCAGCUCGUGUUGUGAAAUGUUGGGUUAAGUCCCGCAACGAGCGCAACCCUUAUCCUUUGUUGCCAGCGGUCCGGCCGGGAACUCAAAGGAGACUGCCAGUGAUAAACUGGAGGAAGGUGGGGAUGACGUCAAGUCAUCAUGGCCCUUACGACCAGGGCUACACACGUGCUACAAUGGCGCAUACAAAGAGAAGCAAUCUCGCGAGAGCUAGCGGACCUCAUAAAGUGCGUCGUAGUCCGGAUUGGAGUCUGCAACUCGACUCCAUGAAGUCGGAAUCGCUAGUAAUCGUGAAUCAGAAUGUCACGGUGAAUACGUUCCCGGGCCUUGUACACACCGCCCGUCACACCAUGGGAGCUGGCCAUGCCCGAAGUCGUUACCUUAACCGUAAGGAGGGGGAUGCCGAAGGCAGGGCUAGUGACUGGAGUGAAGUCGUAACAAGGUAACC